rnacentral:rRNA from 1 species
GCGGCGAACGGGUGAGUAACACGUGAGCAACCUGCCCUCAGCUCUGGGAUAGCUCCGGGAAACCGGAAUUAAUACCGGAUAUGACCACGAUCGACAUCGGCCGUGGUGGAAAGGAUUCCGGCUGAGGAUGGGCUCGCGGCCUAUCAGCCUGUUGGUGGGGUAACGGCCUACCAAAGCGACGACGGGUAGCUGGUCUGAGAGGACGACCAGCCACACUGGGACUGAGAUACGGCCCAGACUCCUACGGGAGGCAGCAGUGGG